GUGGAUGUAGCUCAGUUGGUAGAGCACCGGGUUGUGAUUCCGGUUGUCGUGGGUUCAAUCCCCAUCAUUCACCC
rnacentral:tRNA from 1 species